rnacentral:rRNA from 1 species
UUGACCUCGAAUCAGGUAGGAAUACCCGCUGAACUUAAGCAUAUCAAUAAGCGGAGGAAAAGAAACCAACAGGGAUUGCCCCAGUAACGGCGAGUGAAGCGGCAACAGCUCAAAUUUGAAAUCUGGCUCUCGGGCCCGAGUUGUAAUUUGUAGAGGAUGCUUUUGGUGAGGUGCCUUCCGAGUUCCCUGGAACGGGACGCCAUAGAGGGUGAGAGCCCCGUCUGGUUGGACACCGAUCCUCUGUAAAGCUCCUUCGACGAGUCGAGUAGUUUGGGAAUGCUGCUCUAAAUGGGAGGUAUAUGUCUUCUAAAGCUAAAUACCGGCCAGAGACCGAUAGCGCACAAGUAGAGUGAUCGAAAGAUGAAAAGAACUUUGAAAAGAGAGUUAAACAGUACGUGAAAUUGUUGAAAGGGAAGCGCUUGUGACCAGACUUGGGCUUGGUUGAUCAUCCGGGGUUCUCCCCGGUGCACUCUUCCGGCUCAGGCCAGCAUCAGUUCGCCCUGGGGGAUAAAGGCUUCGGGAAUGUGGCUCUCUCCGGGGAGUGUUAUAGCCCGCUGCGUAAUACCCUGUGGCGGACUGAGGUUCGCGCAUUCGCAAGGAUGCUGGCGUAAUGGUCAUCAGUGACCCGUCUUGCC